AAGCAUAUUAAUAAGCGGAAGAAAAGAAACCAACUAGAAUUUCCUUAGUAAUGGCGAAUGAACAGGAAAUAGUUCAUCAUUGAAUCGCCUUGCGUAAAGCGAGUGUGAAAUGUAAUGUUUGAACCGAAACUGUGAACAGCAAUUUGUGAUCUCAAGUCCAAUUGAAUGUGGCCAAUACCCAUGGCGGGUGUCAGGCCCUUGGUGUGAUCAAAUGGCUGCUAUAAUUUCGGUUUUGGAGUCGGGUUGUUUGAGAUUGCAAUCCUAAGAUGUGUGGUAAACUCCAUACAAAACUAAAUAUUACUACGAGACCGAUAGCGAACAAGUACCGUGAGGGAAAGUUGAAAAGUACUUUGAAAAGAGAGUUAAAUAGCACGUGAAACUGUACAUUGAAAAGCGGAUGAGAGCACAUGCACUGAAUUAAGUAAUUCACCUUCGUAGCUUGUGUUACUCAAUAUAUAAUAUGUUGAUGUUGAAUAUCAAGGUACGAAGCGCAUUCUACUUAUUCACAAGCUGUUUGGGUUCGAUAUUGUGCUUGUCACAUGUAUCGCACGUUUAAUUUAACAAUUCAACCAGGUUCAUGUAUCUCGCACAAUAACAGACCUCAUGACAACGUUUGACGGCGCUUACAAAUGGCGACAUAUGUGGUGAUGUUAACUGCUUCGAAAGAAGUAGAUUGAUUUUUCCAAUUUGUCGUAUACAUAAAGCUGUCAAUCUAUGGAAAAACAGUGAAAUGUGUGCAGUAUCAUCCGAACCGUCUUGA
rnacentral:rRNA from 1 species